rnacentral:tRNA from 1 species
UGGUCGCCGGCAUGCGCCGGCUUGGCUUGCGCGCCGUGCAAUGGCGCGCCCGGCGCGACUGACGUGCCGGGUGCGGUCGCGCCGUGCGCUACCGG